rnacentral:tRNA from 1 species
GGCUAGCACAGUUCGUAGAGCGCUUCACUGAAAAUGGAGAGGUCCCUGGUUCGAUACCAGAACCAGCCG